AACCUACUAUGGGGAAGAGUUGUUGAGAUGCAAGGACACUGUGAACUCACCAGUGAAGAACUGCAAAGCAGAUAUCUCUCUGUUAAUGUUAGCAACUGAAAAACGAAAUCACCUUUUUUUCCCUCACAACACAGCUCAGUGAAGUGAAAUAGUAAAAAACUAUACUUAGUCACGAUUGUGAGCCAAAUAGAAGUACAACGUCUCCCUUGCCACCUUUGACAUUUCAAGCCAAAGAAAUGACAAGUCCUUUGGUUAGUGAUGAUGAACUAUUCCCACUGUCUCCCCCAGAUAUGUCCUUCCCAGCAUCUUUGGCUGCACAGCAUUUCCUUCUGGAAGAAGAGAAACGAGCAAAAGAACUUGAAAAACUUCUAAAUACACAUAUUGAUGAACUGCAAAGACACACAGAAUUUACUCUUAAUAAAUACUCCAAGCUAAAAC
rnacentral:sRNA from 1 species